CAAUAGCGUAUAUUAAAGUUGUUGCGGUUAAAAAGCUCGUAGUUGGAUUUCUGCCGAGGACGACCGGUCCGCCCUCUGGGUGAGUAUCUGGCUUGGCCUGGGCAUCUUCUUGGAGAACGUAGCUGCACUUGACUGUGUGGUGCGGUAUCCAGGACUUUACUUGAAAAAUUAGAGUGUUCAAAGCAGGCAAUCGCUUGAAUACAUUAGCAUGGAAUAAUAGAAUAGGACUUUGGUUCUAUUUUGUUGGUUUCUAGGACCGAAGUAAUGAUUAAUAGGGACAGUUGGGGGCAUUAGUAUUUCAUUGUCAGAGGUGAAAUUCUCAGACCAACGGAAGACGAACCACUGCGAAAGCAUUUGCCAGGGAUGUUUUCACUGAUCAAGAACGAAAGUUAGGGGAUCGAAGACGAUCAGAU
rnacentral:rRNA from 1 species